CGGGGCGUAGGUUAGAUUACAUAAACCUCUAUCCUUCAAAGAUAGUAAUGGGAUGAAUUCCCUGUCUCGG
rnacentral:tRNA from 1 species